CUGAUAUUGAUAAUCCAGAGUUUGAAGAUGAUCAUGAUCUUUAUGUGCUUAAGCCAAUCAAAUAUGUGGGCAUUGAAGUUUGGCAGGUCAAGGCUGGUUCUGUUUUUGACAACGUUUUGAUCUGUGAUGAUCCUGAGUACGUGAA